AACGAACGCUGGCGGCAUGCCUAACACAUGCGAGUCGAACGAGAUCUUCGGGUUUAGUGGCGCACGGGUGCGUAACGCGUGGGAACCUGCCCUUUGGUUCGGAAUAACAGUUGGACACGACUGCUAAUACCGGAUGAUGACGAAAGUCCAAAGAUUUAUCGUCCGAGGAUGAGCCCGCGUAGGAUUAGCUAGUUGGUGUGGUACAGGCGCACCAAGGCGACGAUCCUUGGCUUGUCUGUGAGGAUGAUCAGCCACACUGGGACGGAGACACGUCCCAGACUCCUACAGUAGGCGGCAGUGUAGAAGAUUAGACAACUGGCUAGAUCCUGAUCCAUCAAUGCCGCGUGUGUGAUGAAGGCCUUAAGGUUGUAAAGCUCUUUUACCCUGGAUGAUAAUGUCAGUACCGGGAGAAGAAGCUCCGGCUAACUCCGUGCCAGCCGCCGCGGUAA
rnacentral:rRNA from 1 species